CAAGAGGAACAAGCUGGUGUCCCCUGCAUUUAUUAUAGCCCUCUCCUACUGCCAGUGCUGAUCUGUGCUCCUCAGCCUCUUGAAGCUGCAUGGACUGGAAGGGGCUCACAGGAAUUGUUCAUGAGCCUUGCAGAUCUAUCUGAUACCGUGGUUUGAACCAGAAGAGAUGUCCAGAAGGAUACUGCAGUGUGCCUCUCUGCAGUGCGGGGUUCCCCGCAGCUUUCUCCCUGGCAAAUAGGAGAUGUGAAAACGGAAGAGACGCCCCGGGGAACUGCAUUUUCUGUCACUUGGAGGAGUUUGGUUCUGAACUUCUGGCUCGGUUCCCGUCCUCAGUGAGUACCCCGAGUACAUACAAAGGCCAUUUACCUCCUUUGGAGCAUCAGCUUGUAUGAAAUCAGAAUAAAUCUUUUGGGCUUUUGAGGCAAUCUUAGUCGA